GAUGAAGAACGCAGCGAAAUGCGAUAAGUAAUGUGAAUUGCAGAAUUCAGUGAAUCAUCGAAUCUUUGAACGCACAUUGCGCCCGCCAGUAUUCUGGCGGGCAUGCCUGUUCGAGCGUCAUUUCAACCAUCAAGCCCCCGGCUUGUGUUGGGGACCUGCGGCCGCCGCAGGCCCUGAAAACCAGUGGCGGGCUCGCUAGUCACUCCGAGCGUAGUAAUACAUCUCGCUCAGGGCGUGCUGCGGGUUCCGGCCGUUAAAAAGCCUUAUUUACCCAAGGUUGACCUCGGAUCAGGUAGGAAGACCCGCUGAACUUAAGCAUAUCAAUAAGCGGAGGA
rnacentral:misc_RNA from 1 species